GCGUUACAAGAAAAUGGAAAUUAGAAUUAGCUCUGCUCCUCACCUCUUUCAGAGCUUGAACUCCUCUAUUAUGAAUUACGCUCUGUACUCUGUUUAUAUUCAUGCCCAAAUGACAUAAUUGGGUCUUCAAGUUGUCGGAAAUCCGUUGAAGCUAACAGGGUGGAAGGGUGAAUUGUUUUUGAUGUUAUAAGGGGCAGUGAGGUUGGUGUUGGGGGCAGUGGAGUUAAGUUUAGGAGGAGUAACAUAACUUGGAGGAGGGUAUUCAUAUGGAGGGUAUAGAAGACAUAAUUGUUGCAGAUAGUGUUAGGGAAGAUGUUAUAAUUAGGGGCAGUAAUGUUGGUGUUGGUGAUAGGGGCAGUGAAGUUAAGGUUAGGAGGAGUAACAUUGAUAUGGUUGAGGGUAUUGAAAUGGAGGGUAUAGAAGACACAGUUGUUGCAGAUAGUGUUAGUGAAGAUGUUAACAUGAAUGUUGGGUAUUUAUCCCCCUUGAAAAUAAUUCAGACAACUCACAUUGUUGUUGGUAGCAACGAUAUGGAAGUUGUUAGCAAGGAUAUGACAUUAAUUGUUGACGAGCCUAAGGAAGGGAUGGUUUUCCCGUCUUCGGAAGAUGUUGAAGCCUACUAUAAGGAGUAUGCUGAGCAGAUGGGGUUUGGAGUGUCUAGGGUUCAAGGUGUAAAUUAUAAGAAGGAUAAGAAACAAAGAAUAGCUUACACGUGGAAGUGUGAGUGUUGGGGAAAACCAGACAUGGGGGCUAGAAGGGAAGCAAAGAAGAGGGAAAAGGCAAUGGGUGUUGGAGGUUCUGGUGGGUUAGUUGAUGGGGUGGUAUGUGAGGAUCAGUUACGUCGUAUGAAGAGGACUUCGAAAAAGUAUGAAUGGGAGGCCCGUGUUUAUGAUAGAAGGAAUGAAGAUGGGUUGUUGGUGUUGAAGACAGUGCACCUAAAGCAUAAUCACAAGAUUGAUCAAGCAAAUUUUAAGCUUGUGAAGGAGUACCGCAUGAAGCACCUGACCCCAUCAUUGCAGAGGAAGUUGCUAGAUUACUAUGACCUAGGUGUAACAAUUUCUCAAAUACACGGUUGCAUGGCAACCAAACGAAAAGGAGUGGAAAACAUGCGUCUCAUCGUCAAAGAUUUACAACAUGAGGUGUACAAGGCAAGGCAGUUGAAGAUGGUUGGAGGGGACUCGGUGGCAAUGAUGGAGUUUUUUGAAAAAAUGCAAUCCGAUAAUCAAAAUAUUUUCCAUGCUCAACGGUUAGAUAAAGAAGGGAGGCUUAAGGAUGUGAUGUGGGUGGAUGCAAGAAGUAGGGUUGCUUGUGAGGACUUUGGUGAUGUUGUAUGCUUCGACGCAACAUACCUAACAAAUGAGUACGAGUUCCCAUUUGCGAACUCUGUUGGUGUGAACCACCACGGGCAAUCGUUGUUGUUGGGAUGUGCUCUUGUUUCUUAUGAAGACUGCGAUACUUUUCGGUGGAUAUUUCAAUAGUGGCUAGCUUGUAUGAACAACCAAGCUCCUAGUGCAAUUUUGACUGACCAAGCGGCAGCUAUGCAGAGGCCCUAGCUGAAUUCAUGCCAAACACGAUUCAUCGUUGGUGCAUAUGGCAUAUCAUGAGCAAGAUCCCUGAAAAACAUGGCAAGUGCGCACGUUACCAAGAAUUUUUCAACCCCAUGAAAGAGGUGGUGUAUGAGAGUUUUGAUCCCGAGGAGUUCAAUACCCGAUGGGCUGAGUUCAUAGCGGAGUAUAACAUGGAGGGAAAUGAAAGGAUGUAUAGCAUACAUAAGGAGAGUCAUAUGUGGGUGCCUAAGUACAUGAAGGAGUAUGAUUCGGCUGGUAUGAAGGCCACACAAAGGGUGAAGAGCAUCAAUCGGUUUUUUGAUGGCUAUUCAAACCGCAAAACUAAACUCCACGAGUUUCCUCAGAAAUAUACCAAGGCCUUAAAUCAAUGCGUGACAGAUGAAGUGAGUGAAGAUGAGCGUUGCUCGAAGUACCAUAGGAGGUUGGUUAGUGGCUUAAAAGUUGAAUUUUUUUUCCAAAAGUUAUACACAGACAACAAGUUUCAAGAAUUUCAAACGGAGUGUUCGAGAUUGAUGUAUUGCAGCCUCAGAGGAAAGGAGGUUUUGUCUGAAAACGUUAUUCAGUAUUUGGUGAUUGAUCGUGUAUGGAUAGUACCUCCAUGUGCUAGUGAGGAGGUCAUUACAGAUAGGCAAAGGCUCUACCAAGUUACUUACUGUCCUAUCACUAAGGAGGUUCAAUGUGUUUGCAGGAAGUUUGAAACAAGUGGCAUACUUUGCAAACACUGUAUUAGAAUUCUCAACAAAACUUGGUUGAAGAUCUGCAACAAAAGUAUAUUUUAGACCGUUGGUGGAAGGACGUACCCCAUAAACAAACUAAAGUCAAGGUGGUCUACCGUGAUCCGGGCGACACAGAAAAUGUGAAGAGAUUCAACCGAAUGAUGGAAACGUUCGAGCCCAUUUGUGAAACUAUUGCCAUGCUGAAUGAUCAAACAGUCCAUAUUGUAAUUGAAGCACUAUCGAAGUUUCAAAAAGUUGUUAAUGAUUGUAGGGAUAAGAAGAAUCAGGAACAUGUUCCUGUAGUUAGCACACUUUCAUCAAUCGCUGAAGACAGAACAUUUUCAUCAGCCUCAGUUAUGAACCAUGCAGAACCUGUAGACCUAUGUCCAUUUGCCAUGGAGCCUGUUAUAAAGGACCCCAUAAUUAAGAAAAGGAAAAGUGGCAGGCUUAAGGGUUCGGCACAAAUCGUUUGCUGAAACUGGCUACAAGAAACCCAACAACAACAAGAAGCCUAGCCUAGAUGCAAAAAAUUGUGUUGAGGAGGUAGAAGAGGAUGCAGGAAAUGGUGUUGAGGAUGCAGGAAAUGAGGAGGAUGAACAUGCAUUGAAUGUAGGAACAAUUAAGGUUAAGGCAAAGGAAAAGGCAGAACAAGGUAAGGGCAAGGGAAAGGGUAAACCAAUAAAGGGGAAGGCAGGAACAAUUAAGGGAAAGGAGAAGGGCAAUGCAAAAACAGGUAAGGGAAAGGGAAAGGGAAAUGUUAAACCAAGUAAGGGAAAGGGAAAGGGAAAGGGAAAGGGAAAGGGCAAGGGCAAUGUUGAACCAGAUAAGGGAAACGAUAAGCGCAAUGCAAAACAAGACAUGGAAAAAAGUAAGGGGAAGCCAUUAUAAUGAAGCGGAAGGUGAUGAAGCAGAAGGUGGUGAAACAGAAACGACUUGUGGAACUAAUGGCCAACGCGUGACUUGUAAGUUUGGAUACUAUAUCAAGCGGUAGGCAAAUACGUAUUCCUGGGAGGCGAAUAAGUUUAUCGCUGAUGUGGAUUCGUGCGUUUAUUGUACUAAGCUAAUGGUGAAGUGUUGCUAGGUUAAAAAAAUUUUAAACUAGUAACAAAUACCUAAUGUCUGAUCUAUUUUUAGUUGAGUCUUAUGUGUUAAAUCUAAUGUAUGAACAUGAUUUGAAUCUUGGAUUUAUUAUAUCACCCUUGAGGCUCAAAACACAUGCAUACUUGCUGCAGCCAUAGACCAAACUUAAUGUAUCUAAUCAGGCUAUUAACAUUACCAAAGAUUGUACAUAUAAGCAUAGACCAAAUUUCUUUACUUUUGUAGAUUUAAUUAUAGAACAAAAUAUUCAAUAACCAUGCCACAAAAAUCAUAUACAACUAGAUUCAUCACCUUAGUUCCUACUUAGUAAAUUAUACACAGAAUCAUCUCCAAAAUAACUAUUUAUAAACAAAAACCCACUCUAAAACCAAAAGAAAGCUUCAUGCAUAACAUACUACUCUAACAAAUUCGAUUGAAGUUGUUGGGGGAUCGAUUAUAAGCAUCUGAAUCAAUCGAAGAAUCAGAUGCACCAUAGACACCAUCAUCUGGCCCAAACUCAUCUCCACCGUCGGAUCCAGAAGACGAGUGCCCUCCAACGUCUUCCCCAUCUUCUGCUUCCACCUUCACGCCAUUUCCAUGAGCCUCACCCUCAUCACCUUCAUCAUCACCAUAAACCCCUCUUCUAAUUUUUCUUCUUGUUCUGGUUCCAUCUGCUCUUCCUCUUCUUCUACUUCAUCUUCUUGUUCUUCCUCGUCUUCUACAGCAGGCUCUGGCUCCUCCACCAUAGGAGGUUCUUCAACCACAGGAGGCUCCCCCACCACAAGAGGCUCCUCCACCACAAGAGGUUUCUCCUCCACUUGAACCACCACUGUAUGAUCCUCCUCAUCGCUUAUAUCCAUAUCACAUUCGCCGCAUUUAACAUCGCCAGUCAGAGUGUUGCUUCCAUU